rnacentral:rRNA from 1 species
GAUCAUGGCUCAGGAUGAACGCUAGCUACAGGCUUAACACAUGCAAGUCGAGGGGAAACGAUAUUGGAAGCUUGCUUCCGGUAGGCGUCGACCGGCGCACGGGUGAGUAACGCGUAUCCAACCUGCCCAUCACUUGGGGAAUAACCUUGCGAAAGUAAGACUAAUGCCCAAUGAUAUUUAUAGAAGGCAUCCGAAAUGAAUUAAAGAUUUAUCGGUGAUGGAUGGGGACGCGUCUGAUUAG